UGGGGAAUUUUGGACAAUGGGGGAAACCCUGAUCCAGCCAUCCCGCGUGUGCGAUGAAGGCCUUCGGGUUGUAAAGCACUUUUGGCAGGAAAGAAACGUCAUGGGUUAAUACCCCGUGAAACUGACGGUACCUGCAGAAUAAGCACCGGCUAACUACGUGCCAGCAGCCGCGGUAAUACGUAGGGUGCAAGCGUUAAUCGGAAUUACUGGGCGUAAAGCGUGCGCAGGCGGUUCGGAAAGAAAGAUGUGAAAUCCCAGAGCUCAACUUUGGAACUGCAUUUUUAACUACCGGGCUAGAGUGUAUGAGAGGGAGGUGGAAUUCCGCGUGUAGCAGUGAAAUGCGUAGAUAUGCGGAGGAACACCGGUGGCGAAGGCAGCCUCCUGGGAUAACACUGACGCUCAUGCACGAAAGCGUGGGGAGCAAACAGG
rnacentral:rRNA from 1 species